GGAGUUAGGAAAUGUAGGUGCGAUAAUACCGUGCCUAUUUGACAAAGGCUCCAAAGGAAGCCACGGCUAACUCUGUGCCAGCAGCCGCGGUAAUACAGAGGUGGCAAGCGUUGUUCGGAAUCAUUGGGCGUAAAGAGCACGUAGGUGGAUUUGUUAGUCAGAUGUGAAAGCCUUCUGUUCAACGGAAGAAUCGCAUCUGAAACUACAAACCUUGAGUAUAGGAGGGG
rnacentral:rRNA from 1 species